GCCAGGGGACUACAAGCCCUAGCUUAAAACCCAAAGGACUUGGCGGUGCUUUAGACCCCCCUAGAGGAGCCUGUUCUAGAAUCGAUAAUCCCCGUUACACCUCACCCUCUCUUGUUAUUCCCGCCUAUAUACCGCCGUCGUCAGCUUACCUUGUGAAAGAUAAAUAGUAAGCAAAAUUGGCAAAGCCCAAAACGUCAGGUCAAGGUGUAGCGUACGAGAGGGAAAGCAAUGGGCUACAUUUACUGUAUCAGUAAACACGGAUUUUGCACUGAAAUAAGCAUCUGAAGGAGGAUUUAGCAGUAAGAGGGGACUAUGAGAGCCCCCCUGAAAACGGCCCUGAAGCGCGCACACACCGCC
rnacentral:rRNA from 1 species